GAUCAUUAUAGAGUUAAUGGAUUUUAUAUCCAAAACUCCCACCCUUGAUUAUAAGAUUUUGUUGCUUUGGCAAACCAACUUUUUAUAAGUUGCUGGCUUUUUUAGCUAGAUAGUGUUUGCCAGAGAAAAUUUUAAAAAUUCUUUUUUUAAAUGAAUCUGAUUUUAAUAAAAAAUAAAUAAAACUUUCAACAACGGAUCUCUUGGUUCUGGCAUCGAUGAAGAACGCAGCGAAAUGCGAUAAGUAAUGUGAAUUGCAGAAUUCAGUGAAUCAUCGAAUCUUUGAACGCACAUUGCGCCCUUUGGUAUUCCGAAGGGCAUGCCUGUUCGAGCGUCAUUUUAAUCAUCAAGUUUAACUUGGUAUUGGAUUUGGUUUAUAUUUACCUAUCCAUAACUCUUNGGCGAGUUUCUUAAUUUUCGACGUAGCAAAACUUCGUUAUGGAAAUAAAGUUUACUUCGCCCUAAAAAAAAUUAUUUUUAAAUUUUGACCUCGGAUCAGGUAGGAGUACCCGCUGAACUUAAGCAUAUCAAUAAGCGGAGGAAAAGAAACCAACAGGGAUUGCCUCAGUAACGGCGAGUGAAGCGGCAAAAGCUCAAAUUUGAAAUCUGGCGUAAGCCCGAAUUGUAAUUUGAAGAGGAUGUUCUGAAAAUAUUUUUGGUCCAAGUUCCUUGGAACAGGACGUCGUARAGGGUGAGAAUCCCGUACGUGGCCAAAUGAUAUUUUCGUGUAGAACUCCUUCAACGAGUCGAGUUGUUUGGGAAUGCAGCUCUAAAUGGGAGGUAAAUUUCUCCUAAGGCUAAAUACCGGCCAGAGACCGAUAGCGCACAAGUAGAGUGAUCGAAAGAUGAAAAGCACUUUGAAAAGAGAGUUAAAAAGUACGUGAAAUUGUUGAAAGGGAAGCGUUUAUGGCCAGACUUGACAGUAGUUGUUCAACCGGUCUUUGACCGGUGCAUUCUUCUAUUGACAGGCCAGCGUCAGUUUUAACGGUUGGAUAAAGUCUUAAGGAAUGUGGCUCUUCGGAGUGUUAUAGCCUUUUGAAUAAUGCAACCCAGUUGAGACUGAGGGAAAGCGAUUCUG
rnacentral:rRNA from 1 species